rnacentral:rRNA from 1 species
UACACCUACGGGGCGCAGCAGUGGGGAAUAUUGCACAAUGGGGGAAACCCUGAUGCAGCGACGCCGCGUGGGUGAAGAAGCGCCUCGGCGCGUAAAGCCCUGUCAGCAGGGAAGAAAAUGACGGUACCUGAAGAAGAAGCCCCGGCUAACUACGUGCCAGCAGCCGCGGUAAUACGUAGGGGGCAGGCGUUAUCCGGAUUUACUGGGUGUAAAGGGGGCGCAGACGGCGAUGCAAGCCAGGAGUGAAAGCU